CUUGCAUCAUCCCUUUCUGCCGCUGUGGAGGCAGGGAAGAAAAGACCGGCUUAGGGAAAGACCAUUCUGGGGAAAAGAAAAUUGUUGUGUGAAAUACUUCUUAUGAUGAAUAGUACAAAAGUAUGAAAAAAUAGUGUCUUUUGUAUGGACAGUUAGUAGUCACUACACUGACAAAUCACAGAAUCAUAGAAUCAUCAGGCUCGGAAGAGACCUCUAAAGUCAUACAGUCCACCUAGCACUAACACUGUAACCACUAAACCAGGCCUAACCCCUAAACCACACCCAGCACCAAAUCCAAAUGCCUCUUAAACCCCUGUAGGAAUGGUGACUGCACCAACUUCCCCAGGGCAACCUAUUACAGUGCCUGACCACCUUAAGAGUGAAAAAUUUGACCAAAUCUGAGUCCCGCCCUGUCUCAGCUGAAGGCCAUUUCCUCUGGUCCUCUCACUGCAGUCACAGUAGAAGUGACAGCUCCCACCUCAAUGCACUCUCCUGUCAGAGAGUUGUAGAGAGGGAUGAGGUUGCUCCUCCAGGGUAAACAGCCCCAGUACCCUCAGCUCUUCCUCAUAAGACAUUUUCUAGACCUUUCACGAGUCUUAUUGCUCUUCUCUGGACACACUCCAGCACCUCAAUGUCCUUUCUAAAGUGAGGGGCCCAAAACUGAGUGCAGUACAAACAACACCUCAAGAAUGGCUCAGUCAGAAAGAGUUUAACCUGCUGAAAGAACUUGACUCGGCUGGGUGGGGUUUUUUUAUGAGUGUGUGGUUAAUUUUUUCUUUUUUCUAACCAGUGAGCAUGUGGAGGGGCUGCAAGGAAUGAGGCAGGAAGAGCAGCACCUGGAGCUCCCUCCACUCUUGCUGUGUCUGUCCUCACAGUGCGGCCAGCACAUGAACACCUGAGGAGCCUGCGGGAAGGAAACAGAAACCAGCUCACUCCCAAGUACACCAGGGUGCUUGCAGCCCUGUUUCUUACUUAGUGAAUCAAAAACAUAAAGAAAUGGGAAAUGGGGAAAUCAUGCCUCAUGCUCUUCCAGAGUGUUGCAGGCCAGUACCCUGUCAGACCUGUUUUUCAAGCACAGGGGUGUAGAAAUGGCUUCCUACACACACUGGGCGAGCACAGGAGUCCCCUAGACCCCUUAUCUUCAAACAGGAACAAGGCUGAAGAAGCUGAUUGCCUAAACUAUUUUGGUCUUUUCUUUGUGCUUAGAUCCAUCCUUCCAUAAUCAGCUAAAACAGACAUGGUCUUCCACACAAGGGGCAAAAUUUUAUGUCUAAAAAGCCAUGACACGGGCCAUGAGACUCGGGGAGGAGCAGAAUCUUCCUACCAGAAACUUCAGCUUCCUAUGCAGUCAGGGAGAAGGCAAAGAAAUUAAGUUUCUCCUUCCCCCUCCAAUUCCACCUUGCUCUGUGCAAAAGCCAGUGUGGCUAAACAAGAACAGCAAGAAUCUUGUUAUUCCAAUAUACGACUAGAAACAAAGUGGGUCUGACAUGUCCCUACCUCUGUAUCAGCCUCUGCCCCUCUGUCAUGCUUGUGCAAAUUUUUAUGGAGCUGCUUAGUAAGUAAAGCAGUAGCUGAAAUAGCCAAGCCUGAAGAAGUACUUUGAAAAUGAAAAUAGGGUGAUUGUCCUCAAAAGAUUGCCUCAUGAAGCUGUUGGAGUAAGCUGAGUAAGCAGAAAGGCAGCAUUCUUCAGCCAGCUUUUCCAAGAUGACAUGUUUGCUCAUUUCCACCAUUGCUGAACCAUCAGAGUCACAGGAAAAAUGUUCCCAUCAUUUGUGCGUGUGAUACAAAGACAUGGACUUCAAGUCCCUGCUUGGUGACUCUCAGGGGGUCCUGCAAAGCCCACGGAGCUGACAACUGCAAAAUCAGCUUCCCUGCCUGAGACAACAAGAAUUCGAACUGUACUAUAACUUAUCAGGUUCCAGGCCUUUUGUGACCAUUGUUUGGAGAAAGACAAGAGAACAGCGAAAGACUGGAUGAAAGAGAUUUACAACACCUUUUCCCUCGUUAGUUACAUCCAUGUAAUUAUAGCAAAGCACUGUGUGGGUACCACUUUGCCAUGCACCUGAAGCAUUUUUUCCUUGACAGUGCACUGACAGUUUAGUAACACAGCCCCUACUGUGACUGACAGUUGGUUUUGGACUAAAUCAUAUAAAAUUGAAUAGGAGAUGGUGGCUAUUGGCUAGUUCAGCCAAAGUCUGUUUGGCAGAGUAGAUUAACCUCCAUGCAGCUCUGCAUUAUUGCACAGCUCCAUGCGAUGCUGGUGUCUGCAGCACAGGUUUACCCUUAGCUUGGCUACUAAGAGUAGCCAAAGGCAGCGCUGUAGAAAAGCAGAGAAUCACUGGAAAGGCUUUCUUUAGCAGCAACAAAGAUUACAUGUGUGCCAAACACAUCAAUAUGGCAGAUGACCUGAGAGAACCAGUAGUUAAAACAAUUUAGUCUUCUUAGGAAUAUUGUUCCUGGGGUAAAAGCUCAAACCUCAGCUCACUCAAAACAAAAUUAUUCUAGAGCAUCAUUUCUGUAGUUAACACCUUAGGACUGAAAAAAUUAGUAAAUGAAUACUGUUGCUUCAACACUUUUAUCUACUUCAUUUAAUAUUUUCCAAGAGCCAGUUCAAUGCCAUCUGAAUCUGUAAAUUACAGAAAUGAAAAGCAUUUAAGUCUGUUGAUUUGGGAUAAAAGAAAAUAGAAUAUUUCUACUGAAGAAGCCAAAUAUGAAGGUGAUCUGAGAAAUUGCAUUAAUAUAAGCUUUUGCCAGGAAUCACAGAUGAGUCUAGUAAUCAGUCAUCAGGGAGAGAUGAGAAAAUGAACAGGAGAUUAAGAAGAGGUUGAAUGGAAACAUGGUAUUAGUCCUGCCAUCUGAUCUAUGCCAGCAGAACCCACCUGUGUGAGUUUUCCAAACCAAGUUUGUGCUCUUCUCAAGGUUGCCAGGACUGCAAGAUUAGGGCUCUCAGCUGAUAUGCACAGACCCCAGUGAGGGAGGAGAUUGUCACGUAUAGGCAUGCUUUACUUGAGACACCUAGACCAGUUGAAAUUCAGGGUAAUUAAAAGUAGGAGCCCAGGAUUAAAUUGCUUUCUUCCAAAUUGCUAUCAAAUUCGUGGAAUAAGUUAGGGUAGCCAAGAUACCAGCCCAAGGCUGACAGGUGUAAGACACAGACACUAUAUAGGAGAGCCAUGCCCUUCUGCUGCAGCAGCUACAGGCCAAACAGGUGAAAGGAGGGUGUCUCCUGCCUUCAGGAAGCUGAUCUGAGAGCCUAAUUUCUCUUUGUAAACCCCAGAAAGAUGUAGGCACCUGCAUCAGUUAAUUCAGGGUGCUGAAGUUAGAGAACAUGAUUACAGCCCUCAGAAAGUAUUUACACAGACAGGUGGCCUUGUCCAUUCACCCUUGGAAAUACAAAUCUUGUCCUCAGUGUUAGUGACCUUUCACUCCUGCCACCAAGACAAAGAUGAGAUUGAGUCUACUGUCGUGCAGUGCUGGAGUCCUUUUCCCUCUGCUGACUCCUGUCCUUCUCCAGGAGGUGACUUUAUUGAAGUGCGGCAGUGGCAAAACUCUGCCUGGUGCUGAGCCUGCAGCUUCAGGCUGUCUUAAUCCAGGCUGCUGUAUCUCACCUCUUCUGCUUGGCCUCUGUCUGACUGUGAAUUGCACUUAAUUUAAAUUCACACAGGGUGGAGGUGAUAUUUGCGCAGAGAGGUGGGGAAAAUCCCACCCUUGAAAAAAUGCUAGGAUGGUGAAAAGUGGGCAUGUUUUGUACAUGGCCUUUGGCAGGUUCAAAUGUUCAAAUUAGAAUGAAGCAAAAUCAGGGCUUGAAGCAUGGGACACUAGCAUCUUCCAUGUGAGUGUCCUAAUAUCCUGUACAUUACUGGCUUCUUCAGAGUUGCCUUAGAACACUUGUUUCAUCCUGACACAAAAAGGGAAAUUUCUGAAUUUUUGGCAGGAUAGUAAAACCACCCAGCUACAGUCUCAAGGCAUGCACCCUCUCUUCAUGGGAGGUGAGCAAUCACACGCCACGUUGUUCCCUCAGGUACUGGCCCAGCUCCACAGGCUGAUAAAGAGGGAUAAUAGGUCUACAGCCCCACCUCCUUCCUUUGCCUUUUUGACAUGCUGCUCCCCAAAUCUGAGUGACAACAAAGGCUACCGUAGUUCUUGGGCUGCCUAGGACACCCACAAGGCAACCUGUCAGGUCCUGCAUGGAUGCCAAGGCUCAGCUGGGAGCAAAUCCUCCACAGCACAAACAGCUCUGGAGACUCAAAAGCACUUCCUUCCUUUUCCAGCCGCUGGGUUACCUGAAUUACUCCAGGGUCCAAAGUUUCCUUCCUACCCUGCCAUUCCGCUCCUGCAUCUCAUGUCCCCUGCUGGCCAAACGUCACCUGUUAGAGGGGCAGGAAGCGGGGUGACAUUAAACAGUCAUCGGGAAGGCUCGCAUAAAGCAGAAAGAGACUGACUGCUCCAGCCAGCGCUGGCAGGCGCGGCACAAAC